UACGUAGGGGGCUAGCGUUGUCCGGAAUCAUUGGGCGUAAAGCGCGCGUAGGCGGCCCGGUAAGUCCGCUGUAAAGGUCAAAGGCUCAACCUUUGAAUGUCAGUGGAUACUGCCGGGCUAGAGUCCGGAAGAGGCGAGUGGAAUUCCUGGUGUAGCGGUGAAAUGCGCAGAUAUCAGGAAGAACACCCGUGGCGAAGGCGGCUCUCUGGUACGUGACUGACGCUGAGACGCGAAAGCGUGGGGAGCGAACAGG
rnacentral:rRNA from 1 species